rnacentral:piRNA from 1 species
UCCAUAGGUUGUGAAUGUGUCUUGGUC